GACGAACGCUGGCGGCGUGCCUAAUACAUGCAAGUAGAACGCUGAAGAGAGGAGCUUGCUCUUCUUGGAUGAGUUGCGAACGGGUGAGUAACGCGUAGGUAACCUGCCUGGUAGCGGGGGAUAACUAUUGGAAACGAUAGCUAAUACCGCAUAAAAUUGAUUAUUGCAUGAUAAUUGAUUGAAAGAUGCGAUUGCAUCACUACCAGAUGGACCUGCGUUGUAUUAGCUAGUUGGUGAGGUAACGGCUCACCAAGGCGACGAUACAUAGCCGACCUGAGAGGGUGAUCGGCCACACUGGGACUGAGACACGGCCCAGACCCCUACGGGAGGCAGCAGUAGGGAAUCUUCGGCAAUGGGGGGAACCCUGACCGAGCAACGCCGCGUGAGUGAAGAAGGUUUUCGGAUCGUAAAGCUCUGUUGUAAGAGAAGAACGGGUGUGAGAGUGGAAAGUUCACACUGUGACGGUAUCUUACCAGAAAGGGACGGCUAACUACGUGCCAGCAGCCGCGGUAAUACGUAGGUCCCGAGCGUUGUCCGGAUUUAUUGGGCGUAAAGCGAGCGCAGGCGGUUAGAUAAGUCUGAAGUUAAAGGCUGUGGCUUAACCAUAGUAUGCUUUGGAAACUGUUUAACUUGAGUGCAGAAGGGGAGAGUGGAAUUCCAUGUGUAGCGGUGAAAUGCGUAGAUAUAUGGAGGAACACCGGUGGCGAAAGCGGCUCUCUGGUCUGUAACUGACGCUGAGGCUCGAAAGCGUGGGGAGCAAACAGGAUUAGAUACCCUGGUAGUCCACGCCGUAAACGAUGAGUGCUAGGUGUUAGGCCCUUUCCGGGGCUUAGUGCCGCAGCUAACGCAUUAAGCACUCCGCCUGGGGAGUACGACCGCAAGGUUGAAACUCAAAGGAAUUGACGGGGGCCCGCACAAGCGGUGGAGCAUGUGGUUUAAUUCGAAGCAACGCGAAGAACCUUACCAGGUCUUGACAUCCCUCUGACCGCUCUAGAGAUAGAGUUUUCCUUCGGGACAGAGGUGACAGGUGGUGCAUGGUUGUCGUCAGCUCGUGUCGUGAGAUGUUGGGUUAAGUCCCGCAACGAGCGCAACCCCUAUUGUUAGUUGCCAUCAUUCAGUUGGGCACUCUAGCGAGACUGCCGGUAAUAAACCGGAGGAAGGUGGGGAUGACGUCAAAUCAUCAUGCCCCUUAUGACCUGGGCUACACACGUGCUACAAUGGCUGGUACAACGAGUCGCAAGCCGGUGACGGCAAGCUAAUCUCUGAAAGCCAGUCUCAGUUCGGAUUGUAGGCUGCAACUCGCCUACAUGAAGUCGGAAUCGCUAGUAAUCGCGGAUCAGCACGCCGCGGUGAAUACGUUCCCGGGCCU
rnacentral:rRNA from 1 species